UCCAUCAGGGAUAGCUCAGUCAGUAGAGCAUGAGACUCUUAAUCUCAGGGCUGUGAGUUCGAUCCCUGCAUUUGGGAA